GCCGAGUUCGGUUGAUGCAAAGGUCGUUCAAACGUCCCUUGGCAGUUCUUGGUACCAGCUCCUCUUCGCAAAGUGCAUGUUGCUUCGGGAUUACUGAUGCAGGUCAUCUGUGCGUCGACGAAGGCUGUGAAGAGAUGAAGAGACAUCAAACAAGACGCGACCCGCGGCCAAUCCUCAGCGACACAAACCCCUCGCACCAAGAGCUGUAAACAUCGCCAGCACCGCCCCUCUGUGACCUCACACACGACGCCUCACAGCCAAUCGAAUCACCAGGUUUACUAACGUCAAAAUGAAUCAUUUGCAUAUAAUUAACGGCACCGCGUUUAUUUGCCCCACCCCAUCGCUGUCUCCGCCCCUUCUCCAGAAUGCCCGCCCCUUUCUACAGUGCGAAAGUGAAAGAUUGACUUGUGAAUGUGCUGCAGAAUGAAACCUGUUCGCAAUCCAUUGCUGCUUGUAAGCAGCAAAGAGCAGGAAAACAAUUUUGUAACAAGAGCUAGAAGUCUUCCUUUCUCUCAGUUUCUGUUAUCAUCACAGUGGACAGCAUGACAAAACAAAUUGGAGAAAUACUCAUUUACUGCAAAUGCAAAGAGAUCUACAAAUUUCACCACUGCUGGGGUAUGGGUCAACAAUUAAACAUCAGUGGUGUAAGAUGAAAAAUCUAAUGUCUUGAGAUUACCUAGGAUUUUUAAACUGUGUAACCUUUAU